CGUGAGCCUGUUUCUGGUAGCAGUAGCUGUACACAGAAGAGUCACACA
rnacentral:precursor_RNA from 1 species